GUGGAAGAGCUUAUUUUUAGGUUCUUUUUAGUGGAAACACUAAUGGUAAAAUUCCUCUAACUGCGGGGAUAUGUUGUUAGGUAUUGACUACCGCCAGUAUUAGUGAUAAUAUAGGGCACAUACGGAUAACGCUGUAUGGUAUGGUAAUAACGUCAAUAAUAGACACAAUCCGCAUCGAAGCUUCUCAAAGAGAAGAACGAUCAACGACUAGUAAGUCCUGUAAUAAGGCAUACCACAUAAGUGUUUGAUGUGGGAAAUGGGGAACCUCUAACGAGUAAUGUCGAGGGUGAAGAUAUAGUCUACUCUGCAAGGAGACUUGUAG
rnacentral:ncRNA from 1 species